rnacentral:rRNA from 1 species
CAGUAGCCGCGGUAAUACGUAGGUCCCGAGCGUUGUCUGGAUUUAUUGGGCGUAAAGGGAGCGCAGGCGGUUUAAUAAGUCUGAUGUGAAAGCCCACGGCUCAACCGUGGAGGGUCAUUGGAAACUGUUAAACUUGAGUGAAGGAGAGAAAAGUGGAAUUCCUAGUGUAGCGGUGAAUGCGUAGAGAUUAGGAGGAACACCAGUGGCGAAGGCGGCUUUUUGGCCUGUAACUGACACUGAGGCGCGAAAGCGUGGGGAGCAAACAGGAUUAGAUACCCGGGUAGUCCCUGUCUCUUAUACA